CUGGGCGCGGGCUGUCUCUAGUACCUUGGUUUGCUGCGCCGCAGCAUGACCCAGUCGGUGGUCGUACAGGUCGGCCAGUGCGGAAACCAGAUCGGCUGCUGCUUCUGGGAUCUGGCGCUGAGGGAGCAUGCCGCGGUCAACCAGAAAGGAAUUUAUGAUGAGGCAAUAAGCAGCUUCUUUAGAAAUGUGGAUACCAGAGUGGUUGGUGAUGGUGGCAGUAUUUCCAAGGGGAAAAUUUGUUCUUUGAAAGCACGAGCUGUCUUGAUUGACAUGGAGGAAGGGGUAGUAAAUGAAAUUCUGCAGGGACCAUUGAGAGAUGUGUUUGAUAGCAAGCAGCUCAUCACUGAUAUUUCUGGCUCAGGCAAUAAUUGGGCUGUGGGGCACAAAGUUUUUGGCAGUCUUUAUCAAGAACAGAUUUUGGAGAAACUCAGAAAGUCGGCAGAGCACUGUGAUUGUUUGCAGUGUUUUUUUAUAAUACAUUCCAUGGGAGGAGGAACAGGAUCUGGACUAGGCACAUUUCUUUUAAAGUUGCUUGAGGAUGAAUUCCCAGAAGUAUACAGAUUCGUGACAUCAGUUUAUCCUUCUGGUGAGGAUGAUGUCAUAACCUCACCUUACAAUAGCAUCUUGGCAAUGAAGGAACUUAAUGAGCAUGCAGACUGUGUGUUGCCCAUUGACAACCAAUCUUUAUUUGACAUCAUUAGCAAAAUUGACCUCAUGGUGAAUUCUGGAAAGUUGGGCACAACUAUAAAGCCAAAGAGUCUGGUUACUUCAAGUGCUGGGGCUGUUAAAAAGCGGCACCAGAAGCCCUUUGAUGCAAUGAACAACAUUGUGGCCAAUUUGCUGCUGAACCUAACAAGCUCUGCAAGGUUUGAAGGGUCCCUUAAUAUGGACCUUAAUGAAAUCAGCAUGAAUUUAGUUCCUUUUCCUCAACUGCAUUAUCUUGUGUCAAGCCUAACACCUCUAUAUACACUGGCAGAUGUUAACAUUCCUACCCGAAGGUUGGAUCAGAUGUUUUCAGAUGCCUUUAGUAAAGAUCACCAGCUAAUUCGGGCUGACCCCAAACAUAGUCUCUACCUCGCCUGUGCCCUUAUGCUUAGAGGAAAUGUACAGGUUUCAGAUCUUCGCAGAAAUAUUGAAAGAUUUAAUGUCCUCCUAACUAAAUGUCCCUUAGCUCACUGUCAGACUGUACCAUGAUACUGCUAAUAGUAAAAAGUAGGUAACUUAUGUUACAUACUGAGCAAUUAGAAUGGUACCAUCAGUAAUGUCUGCUGCCAUAUAUGGCAGAUACAUUCAGUACCUUCAUUCUCACCAUUGGGUUUUUGUAUCUCAGAUUAAAACCUUCUCUACAGUUUGUCUCCUGGAAUCAAGAAGGCUGGAAAACCAGCCUGUGUUCAGUACCUCCUGUGGGCCAUUCCCAUUCAUUAUUAGCUCUAGCAAAUAACACAUGCGUGAAGCCUACCUUCAUGGAACUGAAAGAGAGAUUCAUGAGGCUCUACAAGAAAAAGGCUCAUCUUCAUCACUAUCUACAAAUUGAAGGGAUGGAAGAAAGCAGUUUCAUGGAAGCUGUGUCAUCUUUAUCAGGGCUCAUAGAGGAAUACAACCAACUGGAUGCCACGAAAAGCAUGCCUGUGGAAGAUUUUCCUAGACUAAGCAUAGCUGUGUAAAAAAGAAACCCCAAGACACAACUUUUACUUUUCUUAAUUUUACACUGGAUUUUGUCACCUUUUCUGUUUCAGAAUUUUUGUGAUUCAGAAAACCCAGUUUGCACUUUUCCUAUUAGAAAGCAUUUUGUCUUAAAAAAAAAAAAAAAAGAUUUUCAU